CCGGAGCUAACGCGUUAAGUCGACCGCCUGGGGAGUACGGCCGCAAGGUUAAAACUCAAAUGAAUUGACGGGGGCCCGCACAAGCGGUGGAGCAUGUGGUUUAAUUCGAUGCAACGCGAAGAACCUUACCUGGUCUUGACAUCCACGGAAGUUUUCAGAGAUGAGAAUGUGCCUUCGGGAACCGUGAGACAGGUGCUGCAUGGCUGUCGUCAGCUCGUGUUGUGAAAUGUUGGGUUAAGUCCCGCAACGAGCGCAACCCUUAUCCUUUGUUGCCAGCGGUCCGGCCGGGAACUCAAAGGAGACUGCCAGUGAUAAACUGGAGGAAGGUG
rnacentral:rRNA from 1 species